rnacentral:lncRNA from 1 species
GAGAACUUGCAACUCGAAUCGCCUCUAGUACCACACCGACAACUGUAUCGUCUGCUGCGUCGACGAAAUAUGACAUUCAACGGCCCACAAGUUCAAGAAGAGUGUACUGCAAAGCGUUUAUUCAUGAUGCUGAAUAAAAGAGUCCAGUGGCGGUC